rnacentral:rRNA from 1 species
AUUGAACGCUGGCGGCAUGCCUAACACAUGCAAGUCGAACGGCAGCACGACCUAGCUUGCUAGGUUGGUGGCGAGUGGCGCACGGGUGAGUAAUGCGUAGGAAUAUACCUUAAAGUGGGGGACAACCUGGGGAAACUCAGGCUAAUACCGCAUGAGCUCUAAGGAGGAAAGCUGGGGACCUUUCGGGGCCUGGCGCUUUAAGAAUAGCUUACGUCCGAUUAGUUCGCUGGUGGGGUAAAGGCUUACCAAGACUAUGAUCGGUAGCUGGUCUGAGAGGUUGAGCAGACACAGUGGGAAUGAGAAAGGGCCUAGACGCCUCGGGGAGGCACGAGUGGGGUAUAUGGGACAAUGGGGGAACCCCUGUUCUAGCGAUGCCGCGUGUGUGAAGAAGGCCUGCGGGUUGUAAAGCACUUUCGGUGGGGAGGAGGACUUAUAGGUUAAGAGCUAAUGAGUUGGACGUUACCCACAUAAGAAGCACCGGCUAACUCCGUGCAAGCAGCCGCCGUAA